GGGCACAUGGUGUAGUUGGUUAUCACAUCCGCUUAGCAUCGAUAUCAAAUGUGAUGUCUUGUGGUUGCGGGGGGUGCUGGGUUCAAUUCCCAGUGUGUCCA